GCGUGGGUCGGCUCACUGCACUGGACUCAGUGGGCUGGGGGAUACCGCCGCUCCAUUCCCCGCGGGCGGCGGACCGGUCCGGGAGGUGAGGCCCACCUCCCGGACUGUG
rfam:Streptomyces sp. IB2014 011-1 STIB_8, whole genome shotgun sequence.